UGUAUUUUCAGAUACUUCAUUAAAAAUUAAAUAAACAGGGCUGGUGAGAUGGCUCAGUGGGUAAGAGCACCCGACUGCUCUUCCGAAGGUCCAAAGUUCAAAUCCCAGCAACCACAUGGUGGCUCACAACCACCCGUAAUGAGAUCUGAUGCCCUCUUCUGGAGUGUCUGAAGACAGCUACAGUGUACUUACAUAUAAUAAAUAAAUAAAUCUUUAAAAAAAAAAAAAAAAAAAAAAAAAAAAAGAAAAGAAAAGCAGCUCAACUGGAAAUAUUGAAAAAAAAAAAAAAAAUUAAAUAAACAGCUCCCACUUUUUAAGCAGUGAAAUGUUUCUUGGUUGACCAGAAAGCCAAAUGAGCCAUCAUCUCAAUUAUCCAAGUAUUUAAACAAAGGACAACAUGGUUAAAGAGGAAUGAAUGUCUUUAUUUAGCUUCUCCACACAAAGCUUGGUUUUAGUUCUGGAUAUUUUGCUAUCCAUCUUUCUAUUGAGUGAAGAAAACUGAGAGGAAACCCAGAGCACUUUUUAUUAUUUAUAUAGAAAAAAUGUAUGAAAAUGAGCAGCCUGAAUUUUAAUCAUGGAAUAGUUACAACCCCCUUUCUAGUAGCCAUAUCAGAAUAGUUAAAAAUCCUUACAAUUCUCUGUAAACCAUUGAAAGUAAAAGAAUAACCAGACAACAACCUCCACAUUCCCACCUCUCCCAUCCAGGUAUCCAUGGCAAAUAUCAGUCAGGCAUGGCAGCUCAUACAUGUAGUCCCAACACGCGGGAGACCAAGGGAGGCAGACACAUGGAUUUGAGGCUAGCUGGGGUACCUUGUAAGACUCUGUCUCAAAGAC
rnacentral:lncRNA from 1 species